GGGCCUGUAGCUCAGCUGGUAGAGCAGGGGACUCUUAAUCCCUUGGUCGGGGGUUCGAAUCCCUCCAGGCCUACCA
rnacentral:tRNA from 1 species